rnacentral:rRNA from 1 species
GACGAACGCUGGCGGCGUGGAUUAGGCAUGCAAGUCGAACGGUAUCAUCCUUUCGGGGGUGAGAGAGUGGCGAACUGGUGAGUAACACGUAGGUUAUCUACCCUCAAGACGGGGACAACCCAGGGAAACUUGGGCUAAUACCGGAUGUGAGCAACUUUUAGUUGUUUGAAAGGUGGCGUAAGCUGUCGCUUGGGGAUGAGCCUGCGUCCUAUUAGUUAGUUGGUGAGGUAACGGCUCACCUAGGCAAUGAUAGGUAGGCGGCCUUAACGGGUGGUCGCCCACACUGGGAUUGAGAUACGGCCCAGACUCCUACGGGAGGCAGCAGUCGAGAAUAGUCUACAAUGGUCGGAAGACUGAUAGUGCGACGCCGCGUGAACGAUGAAUCCCUUCGGGGUGUAAAGUUCUUUUAUAUGUGAGCAGUGCUUCUUAAUAUUAACAGUAUGGGGGAAGAGAUAUUAGCAUAUGAAUAAGCAACGGCUAAUCCGUGCCAGCAGCCGCGGUAA